GCUAAUCGUUCUUUACUGAAAACCCAUCAUUAAUACAUAGUUAAACUUAGUUGGUAUGUGUCAGAAAACAGAAGAAAGCACUCUAUUCCCUGUAAUUUCUAUAUGCCCCCCUAUUUAUUAACCCUAACAAUUUAGCUGAUCAGUAAUGAUUGGCAUGCAUUUUUAAUGCAUAUUUAUACAGUUAAGCAUUGUUUUUAUGACUCUUUCAUUAUACUACUUUAAGUAGUGCAAAACAC